AUGGAUAAUAUAAUAGCAUGGAACAAUAAAAAUUAUAGAUACGUUGGAGAUGUAUCAUCCUCCCUGGGCCCCGAUGGCUUGCCAGUAAAGUUCUUCUAGACCUUCUAGGCUGUCAUCAAACAGGAGGUCAUGGCCCUCUUUCAGGAGUUCUAUGUGGGCGCCAUCGACCUCCACUGCCUUAACUAUGUGAUUAUCAGUUUGAUCCCCAAGGUCCCCGGAGCCUCGGAUAUCCGCCAGUUCCGCCCGAUCAUGGUGAUCAAUGUGAUCUUCCGCAUACUGGGAAAGGGUUACGCCAAUAGGGUGGCCCCUUUGGUCAACCGCAUCACCCACCCUGAUCAGCUAGCCUUCAUCCAAGGUCGAUAUAUCCUGGAUGGGGUCCUAUCUUCCAUGAAAUUUUGCACGAGGCCCGGGCCAAAAACCUCAAGGCCGUCUUCUUGAAAAUCAACUUCCACAAAGCCUAUGACACGGUCAGCUGGACCUUCCUUCGUAAAGUGUUGCUCCGGGAAGGGUUUAACAAUCGUUGUGUCACCCGGGUCAUGCAAAUGGUCACCUCAGGGCAUACCACAGUUAACAUCAAUGGUGAUAUCGGUCCCUAUUUCCCCACUCUAUGUGGGGUUAGGCAGGGUGACCCCUUCUCCCUGUUCCUAUUCAACAUGGUGGUCGAUGCAUUGGCUACUAUCCUCGAUAAGGCUAAGACUGUAA
rnacentral:rRNA from 1 species